UACAGAGGGUGCGAGCGUUGUUCGGAUUCAUUGGGCGUAAAGGGUGCGUAGGUGGCGCCGUAAGUCGGGUGUGAAAUUUCGGAGCUUAACUCCGAAACUGCAUUCGAUACUGCGGUGCUUGAGGACUGGAGAGGAGACUGGAAUUUACGGUGUAGCGGUGAAAUGCGUAGAUAUCGUAAGGAAGGCCAGUGGCGAAGGCGGGUCUCUGGACAGUUCCUGACGCUGAGGCACGAAGGCCAGGGGAGCAAACGGG
rnacentral:rRNA from 1 species